rnacentral:rRNA from 1 species
UACGUAGGGCGCAAGCGUUGUCCGGAAUUAUUGGGCGUAAAGAGCUCGUAGGCGGCUUGUCACGUCGGAUGUGAAAGCCCGAGGCUUAACCUCGGGUCUGCAUUCGAUACGGGCUAGCUAGAGUGUGGUAGGGGAGAUCGGAAUUCCUGGUGUAGCGGUGAAAUGCGCAGAUAUCAGGAGGAGCACCGGUGGCGAAGGCGGAUCUCUGGGCCAUUACUGACGCUGAGGAGCGAAAGCGUGGGGAGCGAACAGG